rnacentral:lncRNA from 1 species
UCCUUGUAAAGUAGUAUUUUGGCUUGACUAGACAUGUUUUCACUGAAGAUUGGAAAUGAAGGACAGGAAAAUCCGUUACAUAUAUAAUGCUUUCUUCAGUCAGUUUCUACAUACUAGAGGCCAAUGCUAACGGCUCUUUUUAAUUUUGCCACCAGGCCUGAAACUUUGAGUGAGGGGCUAGUCAAUUACAUUGACCCAACGUUUGACCAUAUUUAUUUUAUCAGCUUGGAAGGUAUCAUUAUAAUGAUGUUAUCUUUAUAAUGAAAGGGUCAAAAGCAGUACAUUCCCAUGUUGGCACAAACUCAGAAACUGAUGAUAGACCAGUGAGUAGUUGGUUUAUAUUUCACCCUAAUAUUUUAUAAGCAAUUUAAUUUAUUGAUCUCGAAAAAAAAAAAUUACUUCAGAGUAUGGUUUGCUUCUUCCAUAUUCACAGCUGGUUCAGCCUGUCUUUUAACCCCAUCUGACCAAAGCAACUGGAAUGUCUUCUUAGCUGGUAGAAGCAGAUUCACAUCUACGAUUUAUGACCAACUGGACUGCUAUCAUCAGUAGAAGAAGGGGUACCACAAAGAACAUUGUAUAUCAGUGUUUGAGUUCUGCUGUACCAUGGGGAAUCUCACAACAGAGAUUCCUCUCCAUGCAUUCCAAGAAACCAAUUCCUGCCGUGUGCUGUCAACAAUGUUCAACAAACUCCCUAUUUGUGAAAACCCAUUAUGCAUCUCAGAAUGUCACGCCAACUUUUGAUCAUUCCAUUCUCAUUCUCAGGCAGUUGAGUGUCUUCCAUUGAAACCAUGGUACUUCUGAGCCAAGAGGGAGGUCUUCAUCAAGGAGCAGUUACCUUGUCAAUUGGAGGAAGGUCAUUCACAAGCUUUUCUAUCCAGAGCUGGAGUCUGAUUUCUUCCUAAGAUGUUGUUAGGGACUGUACAUGGCCAAGGAAAUUUCUUCUUUAGUUCAGUCAUUAAGCCAAGAUUUGACAUAUAUGGAGGAAGAUGUAUGUGCCUAUGCACAUACACACACACAUGUAUACUCAGUCCUCACUUGAACAAGGCUGAAAAAUUGGUUGAGUCAGCAGAAUAUAAGAUAAAAUAUCUUGCAGUAUUUUUGUUCCAGCUCUGGACUCUGGUUUCAAACACCUUCUGAGAUCAAUUUUGCCCUUCAUCCUUUUGAGAUCAAUAAAAUCAGAUUCAAUCCCUGGUAGAAUAUUGGUAAAAUUCCAUCUCUUUACUUUCUGAGUUCUUGGGUGUUAGACUUAAUCCUUUAGUUUUCAGAUUAUUCUGUCAAAUCUAAUACUUAUUUAUUCACAUUCUUUUGAAUUAAUCAUACAUUGUCUCAUAGCAACGGCAUGAUUAAACAUUUUAAGAAUGACAUUGUAGAGAAGUUAUGAGUUGGGCCAGAUCUGAGCAGUUUGAACUUAAAACAGAUACAAUUUUUGAGCUGGAUCAGAUGAUAAAGGGUUAAUCCUUCACUCAAUUAAAUACCUCCAUCAAGUAGUUUGAGUGCCUCACACCGAGUUUGCUAUGUUACGAGCAUUGAAGCCAUAUUUCCACUUUGGGACUAUCUUCCAUUCUGUCUACCUUCCUGCCUGCCUCAGACUUCCUUAUACAAUAAAGAACCAGGGACAUUGUCCUUCCUUCCAUGACAAAACAGUAAAAAGAAACACACUUAUUACAAAAGACAAUCCAGCCAUGACCACAAUCUUAUAUAAAUUAUGUCUAAAACAAAAAAAAAAAAAUGUGCGAUGGUCUAUCAUGUAUAUUGUUGCAAGGGGAAAAUGUUUAUGAUGACAAUACUUUCUCUCUGUCUGUCUGUCUCUCUUUUUUACACAGGUGUUGGAAGAAUUAUAAAAUGACUUCAGAUUAACUGAUUAUUUCAAAAUGAUUUCUAUUCUAGAUACUGAAAUCUUGUUAAUGAUAAGAUCUCUAUAUACAGGUGGUAUAUUGCAUACAUAUAAAUAUAUUUACAUAUAUAUAUAUAUAUAUAUUGCCAUUAUCACCAUCAUCACCAUUUUGAUGCCCACUUUUCCAUGUUUACACGGAAUCGGUUGAGGCUGAUUUUCUAUGGUCAGAUGCCCUUCCCAGGUGAUAGCCCUCACCUGUUUCCAUGUAAAGUAAUAUUUUAGCUUGACUACACAUGUUUUCACUGAAGAUUGGAAAUGAAGAACAGGAGAAUCCAUUACAUAUAUAAUGCUUUCUUCAGUCAGUUUCUACAUACUAGAGGCCAAUGGCAUCUUUUCUUUAGUUUUAGCUCUGCUGCCUUUGUCUUUUAAUCCAGCAAUCAUUGACAAAUAUUGUCCAGGUAGCUAGCAUUUUAGUUUAAGACUUCGGAAAUUGAUCCAGACAGUUCAGUUCAUAGUUCUUUAGAUAUGUGUGUGUGUCCAUGUGUUUGUGCGAGUGUGUUUGUAUGUGUGUGUGUCCAUGUGUUUGUGUGUGUGCUUGCAUGUUUGUUUACAUUUCUUAGAUUGUUGACAUCAGUGUUGCUGAAUACUUCACCUCUACAACUUCCUGUUUUGAGGAUGUGUAAAAUAUGCUGUCUUUUAUCUGGGGGGGAAAAAAAAAUGAAGGGUCAAUGGUAAGGAGAGCCAAACAUGAAGAAUGGACAAACUUGAAAGAAAAAAAAAAAACCUGACAAUAUAUUUAUGUAUAUGUGUGUGUGUAUUUUAAAAUGUUACUUGAACAAUUAUUACUUCAGAAAGAAAAGUGUUUUAAUAUUUAAUUCCAUGUAUAUGUGUGUGGUGUGCGUAUAUGAAAUUGGUAAAUAUAAUGUACAAUAAAAAAUUUACUGUUUCGUUUUGGUUAGAAUACCAGUUAAUACUGACCAAAGUCUCACACUAGAGUUUGCCUGCAUUCAACAUCUCAAUCUCUUCCUACCACUUCAUUUAUUUUUAGUUUCCCUCUACAAGUCUUAAGUGAAGUGUGAAGCAAAUUGCAUUUUAUUAUAAACCUAUGGGAUGUAUCAGGAAGGGCAUCUGACAAUAGGAUCCACCCUGUCCAACUUAUGCAAGCAUGGAAUGGUGGAUGUUAAAAUGAUGAUGAUGAUGAUACAUAUAAAAUAUUGUAUUGUUGGUAAGAUCAGCAAAAAAAAAAAGUACUCUGUCUGGGUAGAGAUAAAUAUGUCUGCUAUUAUUAGCUUCAUGUGCUGAAUACAUGCCAAUGAACUAAAAAUGAGAUGAUAGGAUGAGAGCAAAAACAAGAAAAGGCACCUUUUCUUGCUUUUUCUUUCAUCUUAUUACCCCAUUUUUAGUUCAUUAUGCCAUGUGGGCAGUGUCUUAUGAUUGUGCUAGGGUACCAGGCAUGUCAAAAACAUCGUUUAACAUGCUCUCGUCACAUGAAACUAAUAGCAGCACAAAAAUACAUAUAUAUGUAUAUGUAUAUAUAUAUUUAUGUAUCCAUACAUUCAUACAUACACACACAUACGGGCGCGCAUAUUUACUGGAGACUUGUCACAAUGAUCAUUUUAGCAAGGUAUUGUCAAGUGCCUUGAUAAGACCUUGUUGGUUGAAAUGAUUAUUGUACCAAGUCUUAAAAAUAAAAAAAAGACAAAAAGCUCUACAUUUGUAUUAUACAUUAAGUGCUAAAUCUGAAAGUAUUCCACUUUGAUGGAAUGAAAUUCAAUAAAGAUAAUACAACACACACACAUAUAUAUAUAGAUGUCAUCAAUUGCUAAAUACCACCAAAUUCCAACCUCCUUUAUUUGGUGUUGUUGGCCCUUUGACCUUCCAACACUUGUUGAUUACUAUGACCAACUCAUCUCGAAAUUUUAUAUUAUUUACAUGUAUUUAUAUGAACUUAUUUCAAAUACUCUUUACUGUACGAAAAGCCAGCCUAUGGCAAAACUUUGAAGUCACUGUGUACUUCCUUAUAAUAAAUAUUUUAUUCAA